CAUGUUCUAGCAACCCAGAUCAUCAAAUGACACUCUCUAACACAUAUCUAAACAACAAACAACAACAUUAACACAAAUUUUUAAGGAUUUCUAGAAUUAGGGUUUAUAUCUCUAUUAUGCUUCCAUACUUGAUUUCUGAUAAAGUGAAUGGCAAUUUGGUAACUUCUCACAAUCAUUAGGUUUUAACCCAUAGGGUUUGACCCUUAGGGUUUAACCCUAAACUACAUAAAUUUAUAUUCUAGGCUUUUUCUAAUUAAGUUCUAAAAAUAGAAAAUUAUAAAUAG
rnacentral:lncRNA from 1 species